rnacentral:misc_RNA from 1 species
GUUCUAUCAAGGAGUAAUGCAAAUUAGGACAUCGGAUGAUAUUACUUCUUCAAGCUUUAUGGGAAAUGCUAGACAACUUUUCAAAAAUACAAAGUCCUACAACAAUUCAAUAAAAAUUUCCUUUGAAAUACGAUAUAACCUAAAAGGUUGCUUCAGGUUUACUUCCAAGUUUCUUGAAACAAAUUUUAUUUUGAACAUUUUAUUUCGCAGCAAAUCAACCCUUCCAGCAAUGGGGCUUCUCCACUUCGAAAGAAAAGGCAAAGAAAAGGCACGUCCAGUACUUUCUAACUGAGAUGCUACAAAAGAAAAGCCGCUAAUAUGUAACAGAUCUAAAGCAGCGACCACAAAAAUAUUUGCAUUUUUCUCCAUGUUGGAAUUCGGAGAUAUGCAGACUAGCAGAAAACCAAGCAAUAAACCAUGGCACAAGAGAUCAGGCAACAGAAACUUGAUGUUUGAAACCAUGACUGGCAUAUUAUGAUCACACAAUCUCAAUUCUCAGCUCGAUGCAUUCUUCCGCGCAGCAUAAACACGGUAAGCUGCCAGGCCCACAACAGCUACAGCAGCCCCAACUGAUACAAACAUAAGAGAUCGAUUGACGAGCCGAUGAUAUUGCUUACGGCUUCUUCCCGCUUCAGUCUCGGGGAUGCUCAAAUGUGGAUGUUCCGCUGCAUUAACUAUCCUUCGGAACAAAUUACUGAAAUCCCCAAGCUUCGUGCUGAUGGGUAUAGGAGCUUCUAUCCCUAAAUCCUGGCUAACCCUGGUAGAAUCUUGAAUUUCAGUCAAAUACGGCUCCAGAUCAUCUUUAGCUGCUACAAUGAGACAAGGCAUCUCAUACCCAGUGGCUUCUCCGUGGCUGGCAACAUCCACCAGUAAAUCUGCUGCUCUCUUCCAAGAAGCUUCACAAGAACUGUCAUGAACAAAAAUUGCUAUAUCGCAAUCUGCUAAAGCAUCCUUGCUAGAUAGAAGCUUCUUCACUUCAUCUUCUGGUAUCUCUCGUAGCACAAGAGAUUUUUUAGCCCCCCCUAGAUCGACAACAUUUACUGCAUAUUGAUCGCCUGUAGUUGAUUGGUACUCUUCUGGGAACGGCCUUCCAAUAAACGAAUUCAGAAUGGCUGAUUUUCCAGCCUCUUUUGGCCCAAAAACAAAACACUGAUAGACAUUUCUAUCUGAUUGCUGCUUCUUGCGAUCUAAACGUCUUCUUCGAGUUACACGAAUAGCAGACGAAGGAUCACCAGCAUAUCCAAUAUAUAUAAGAUUCUCGACACUAUAAACGGGAUCAAGAAGUGUCAUCAAUGCCCACUCUGAAAGAAAACCAUCAACAGAGAGUCCUCCCAAGGCAUCCUUCUCAGCAGCAUCCUUAUACGGAGCAUUACUCCAGGGGUUCUCUGGAGCAGUGGAAAACAAGUCAUCAAGCUCAUUGGAUCGAAGAGCACCAUCACCAUCGAUGUCAAAUGUGAAGAAGAUUCUUCUGAGGAAGUCCAAUGCAUCAUUGGUCAGCUCCACACUCUGGUCAGGAUGUCUCUUGAUGGGGGGAAGAAGCUGAUCCUCACUCAGCCUGAUCUCGUUAUUGUAGCCAAAUUUUCGCAGGACAGUCCAGGUUGUCUCCAGACGCCCUUUUUCAAUAAACAGUGCAUGAAGAAAGAGGAAACCUGUCAAUGUAAGACCCUGUUCAUUGACACCUUCCUGUAAUUUUUCUUGAACGACU